rnacentral:rRNA from 1 species
GACGAACGCUGGCGGCGUGCUUAACACAUGCAAGUCGAACGGUAAGGCCCUUCGGGGUACACGAGUGGCGAACGGGUGAGUAACGCGUGAGUAACCUGCCCUUGACUCUGGGAUAACAGAUGGAAACGUCUGCUAAUACCGGAUACUCAGCCUUGUGGGCAUCCGCAGGGUUGGAAAGCUCCGGCGGCCAAGGAUGGACUCGCGUCCUAUCAGCUAGUUGGUGGGGUCACGGCCUACCAAGGCGACGACGGGUAGCCGGCCUGAGAGGGCGACCGGCCACAUUGGGACUGAGAUACGGCCCAGACUCCUACGGGAGGCAGCAGUGGGGAAUAUUGCACAAUGGGCGAAAGCCUGAUGCAGCAACGCCGCGUGCGGGAUGACGGCCUUCGGGUUGUAAACCGCUUUCAGCAGGGACGAAGCGCAAGUGACGGUACCUGCAGAAGAAGCACCGGCUAACUACGUGCCAGCCGCCGCCGUAAUAC